rnacentral:lncRNA from 1 species
CUCUACACUAUAGUAGGUCCCAGGCUUCCUGUGUGUGCCUCCACUCCUCCCUAUCGCCUAGCCCUAUCCCAGCCAGCUCUAUUGUGUGAUACAAUCACUCAGCAGCUGUGGCCCAUUUGUAAAAGGGAGGGGCCUGCAUGCUUAACUCUUGGCUACGUAAGAGACCAUGUCUACCAGGGGAAUUAGCAGAUCAGCUCACAGAGCAACAGAUGUGGCCCACACCCAUUCAAGGGAGAGAGAAAAAAAAAACACAUUGCGCAUGGGUCUCCAACUUAACACUACUGUCAACUUAACAGCAAAACAGUUGCACAAAAUCCUCAAGGAAAGGGAGUUAAAGGAAAACUUAUUGCUUGACUUGGAAUUGUAUUGACUGACAUCAUCAUGAAGGCAUCAACCACAGCGGGUCCGGCGUUACCAAUGACAUCGCCAGAAACAUUCGAACAAGGAAUCAUUGAGGUUGUCACCCGUCUGGUCACACAGAAUUUCACAGAACACUUCACACAACCCUUCAGAGCUGGAGUUCUGACAACAACUUCUGCAGAUAUGACUGAAACAACCUCAGCCGCUUUUUUAGUGGGAGCCGCCAACGUAGAUGAUGGAUCCUUUGAAGCCAUUAUUUUCGGAGGAGGAAUUUUUGCGCUGCUCCUGGCGCUGCUCCUGGCGUUGCUGGUACUGCGCUACAUUGUCAAGCAUAAGGGCACUUACCACACCAAUGAGGCCGAGUGUGGUGAUUCUGUCGACAAGUAUGGCAGGGACUCUCAAAGCGAGCAGGUUCAACUAGAGAUUUUGGACAAGGACGAAUAGAAAGAAGAAUACUUCAUUUGAAACAGGACUUUUUCCGUUUCUAAACCAGGGCCAAUAUUUUCUAUGGAAUUGGAAAUGCCUAUGAUGGUCAUCUAAUUUCAAGACAACAUUUAUAUGGGGCCUACAACCAUCUCAGCUCUGCAGAUAUUGUUACGAAGAGACAAAAUAAUUACAUCACUUAUUUUUGUAUUGCCCAUAUAGUAUAUACACUAUAUACGCAAAAGUAUGUGGACACCCCUUCAAAUUAGUGGAUUGGCUAUUUCAGCCACAUUACAGCCUUAUUCUACAGCUUUAUUUCCCUCAUCAGUCUACAUAAAAUCUCAUAAUGACAAAGUAAAAACAGGUUUUUAUCAAUUUUUGCAAAUGUAUAAAAAAAAAAUUCUGAAAUAUCACAUUUACAUAAGUAUUCAGAUCCUUUACUCAGUACUUUGUUGAAGCACCUUUGGCAGUGAUUACAACCUUGAGUCUUGGGUAUGACGCUACAAGCUAGGCACACCUGUAUUUGGGGAGUUUAUCCCAUUCUUCUCUACAAAUCCUCUCAAGCUCUGUCAGGUUGGAUGGGGAGAGUUGCUGCACAGCUAUUUUCAGGUCUCGGGUUCAAGUCCGGGCUUUGGCUGGGCCACUCAAGGACGUUUAGAGGCUUGUCCCAAAGCCACUCCUGCAUUGUUUUGGCUGUGUGCUUAGGGUCGUUGUCCUGUUGGAAGGUGAACCUUCACCCCAGUCUAAGGUCCUGAGUGCUUCAUCAAUGAUCUCUCUGUACUUUGCUCAGUUCAACUUUCCCACGAUCCUGACUAGUCUCCCAGACCCUGCCACUGAAAGAUAUCCCCACAACAUGAUGCUGCCACCAUCAUGCUUCACCGUAGGGAUGGUGUCAGGUUUAAUCCAGACGUGACGCUUGGCAUUCAGGCCAAAGAGUUCAAUCUUGGUUUCAUCAGACGAGAGAAUCUUGUUUCUCAUGGUCUGAGAGUCCUUUAGGGGCUUUUAUUGGGCAAACUCCAAGCGAGCUGUCAUGUGCCUUUUACUGAGGAGGGGCUUCCGUCUGGCCACUCUACCAUAAAAGCCUGAUUGGUGGAGUGCUGCAGAGAUGAUUGUCCUUCUGGAAGGUUCUCCCAUCUCCACAGAGCAACUCUGGGGCACUGUCAGAGUGACCAUCGGGUACUUGUUUACCUCCCUGACCAAAGCCCUUCUCCCCCUUUUGCUCAGUUUGACCGGGCGACUAGCUCUAGGAAGAGUCUUGGUGGUUCCAAACUUGUUCCAUUUAAGAAUGAUGGAGGCCACUGUGUUCUUGGGGACCUUCAAUGCUGCAGAAAUGUUUUGGUACCCUUUCCCAGAUCUGUGCCUCGACACAAUCCUGUCUCAGAACUCUAUGGACAAUUCCUUCGACCUCAUGGCUUGGUUUUUGCUCUGAAAAGCACUGUCAUCUAUAGACAGGUGUGUGCCUUUCCAAAUCAUGUCCAAUCAAUUGAAUUUAUCACAGAUGGACUCCAAUCAAGUUGUAGAAACAUAUCAAGGAUGAUCAGUGGAAACAGGAUGGACCAGAGCUCAAUUUCGAGUCUCAUAACAAAGGGUCUGAAUACUUAUGUAACAUUAGAGUGUCUAGUUUGAGAAACAGACGUCUCACAAGUCCUCAACUGGUAGCUUCAUUAAAUAGUACCAGCAAAACACCAGCCUCAACCUCAACAGUGAAGAGGCGACUCCGGGAUGCUGGCUUUCUAGGCCAAGUUGCAAAGAAAAAGCCAUAUCUCAGACUGGCCAAUAAAAGUAAAAGAUUAAGAUGGGCAAAAGAACACAGACACUGGACAGAGGAACUCUGUCUAGAAGGCCAGCAUCCCAGAGUCGCCUCAUCACUGUUUAUGUUGCUCAGUUGUGCACCAGGGCCUCCCACUCCUCUUUCUAUUCUGGUUAGAGACAGUUUGCACUGUUCUGUGAAGGGAGUAGUACACAGUGCUGUACGAGAUCUUUAGUUUCUUGGCAAUUUCUCGCAUGGAAUAGCCAUCAUUUCUCAGAACAAGAAUAGACUGACGAGUUUCAGAAGAAAGUAAUUUUUUCCGGCCAUUUUGAGCCUGUAGUCAAAGCCACAAAUGCUGAUGCUCCAGAUAUUCAACUAGUCUAAAGAAGGCCAGUUGUAUUGCUUCUUUAUCAGAACGACAGUUUUCAGCUGUGCGAACAUAAUUACAAAAAAGUUUUCUAAUGAUCAAUUAGCCUUUUGAAAUGAGAAACUUGGAUUAGCUAACACAACGUGCCAUUGGAACACAGGAGUGAUGGUUGCUGAUAAUGGGCCUCUGUACGCCUAUGUAGAUAUUCCAUAAAAAAUAUGCCGUUUCCAGCUACAAUAGUCAUUUACAACAUUAACAAUAUCUGCACUGUAUUUCUGAUCAGUUUGAUGUUAUUUUAAUGGACAAAAAAAAAUGCUUUUCUUUCAAAAACAAGGAAAUUCUAAGUGACCCCAAACUUUUGAACGGUAGUGUAUGCUCAAAGUAUUAACAUCCCAAAAUACUGUAUCGGUGACUAAAUGUGGUCAAGUUUAUGUUGAAGAUAAUUCAUGUCUGUUGUUUUAUCACAUGAAAAUGCCAUUCGAUUAGGUGUGGGUAUGUAUCAAGCUACACAUUUGAUACAUUUGCACAGUCAUUAAUUAAAUCAGCCAAACUCUUUUUUCCCAAUUAAGAGUUUACUUGUAUACCCAGUCGAAAAAUCUGAUUAUUCAACACAACAUCUGAGUUCAGGAAACCAAGAUAUAGGGGCAAAUGUUGUCACUUCAAUAGUGUGUGUUAACGAGAUUUAGAAGCUUAUGGAGGAUUUUGUGUUUUCUAUUUUCAUCAAGCUAGAAUAGAGCAAUGCAGUGCCCGAGGCUGCUGAAGGGCAGUUCUGAAUCCUUGAGUAGCGCCAGGCAGCACUAUGUGGGUUUAAUGCAAUUCGAACAACCCCAGAAACGUUCCUGCAGAACUGAGCCAGCACACUUUGCAAAAAAAACAUUGUGCCUCUGGGAAAUCGUUUUACUCUAAUUGCGCAUUAUUCUUGGUUGGGAUACAAGACAAUACAAGCCAAUCUCAAGAUCAUACAUCACCUGAUCUACGAGCUGGCAAAGAGCACUUACUUUUGGCCAUUUGAUUGCAAGUUGAAAGUAUUUCUUUCCAUUUGUCUUCCUAAUCAAAGUAUGGGACAAUUGCUAACCUUUCUCCAAACAGAUUUUUCCUUCAAUUCUCUAAUCAAGUCCAACUUCAAAGCCAGUGACUCAGCGUGUGUUUGAGUGCAGUAGCUUGAGUGCUCUGUCUGAUUGAGGUAAAGACAAUGAAGCCAUUGAGACAUCUAUCCAACUGCCGUCCUCACCGACAACAUAUCAAAUCCUAUUGAUCAGAGAGGAAAACACUUACAAAAUAUGUGCCCCAAAUGGCACCCAAUUUCUUCUUUAGUGCACUAGGCUACUUUUGACCAGGGCCCUAUGGGGGAAUAGGGUGCUAAAUAGGGAAUAGGGUGCCACUUGGGACCCGGCCGUGACUUCACCAGGGCCACUGACACCUCUCGAGGAGAUUAACAACUUUUCUAAAAGAGUUAUUCCAGGGUCACUGAAGCCAUAGCUUGGCCUAGACAGCUAUAUAGAAGCACCAAGUGCUUGAAAGGCAAUAAUCAGGAAGUCAGCCUUGCAACCAGCCGCACUUCCCGUUCAAUGUAUUUUUAUGAUUAGAAAUCAAAUAACAGUUCAAAAGACACCCAUCGUGUUCUCUUACAAUUGUAUCCCAGCUUUCCUCCUGGCCUUGGUGUGCAGAGAACAUUCUUUUUUAUUGUGACAAUAAGCCAUACUUUGAUAUGGCCCUGAAGGCAUCAACAUAAAUUCCUCUCAUCCCGACUGCUCUGUGAAGCUUGAACAAUGGCAAAGCCGAAAGCUGGUGACUUUUCCAUCUCUUCUCCUACUGUCGACAAAAUGGCAUAAAAUACAAAUACAUGCUAGCAUUCUCCAUGGAUGAAUGUGGCAUGCGACUGUACUCACCUAAAGACAUCAACGAUGAAAACACUUUGAAUUUCUUUUGAACAAUGUAGCUACCUCACUCUCUUUGAGUUGUAGCUAAUUCCAGUAAAAGAGGAUACAGUACAUUAAUUAAUGAAUGACUUGACUUGGAAGCCCAUGGUACCGUAGUCUGAGUUGUGUAGAUUAUCUCCCUUGUUAGACAAUAGGCUAAGUCUUGGGUGCGUCCCAAACAGCACCCAUAGAGCUCUAGUCAAAAGUUGUGCACUACAGAAUGUACAGGAAAUAGGCUGCCAUUUGGGACGGAGACCUGGAUGUGUUCAGACAAAUGGAAGAAGAAUGGGAACAGGAAAUUCAUUGAAUCAUCUUGUCAUUGAAUCAUCUUCUUAGAAUAUCCCCAUGGCUUACAAUAUGCACGCUCCCAAAUGCAACCCUAUUCCCUGGUCCCUGGUCAAAAGUAGUGCAUUGCGUAGGGAUUAGGGUGCCAUUUGGGAUGCACUUUUAAGGUUCUGGGGCUCUUGAGAAAGGAGAGUUUUGCAUAAUACAGCAGCAAUAAAACAGAAAAUGCUAAAUUCCAGCUCAUCCAAGUGUUGCUCUAUUGUAUUCUUCAGCGAAUAUCCUAUAAGCUAUAAUGAAGAUAUGUGACUUAGCCCCUGACAUGGCAAGCUUCCUAGGAGAAAGGACUUCCAUUCCAGACUCAAUUACUAUUGCAAUACGUUUCCGCUAUGGAUAUUGAAUAUUGCAAGAUAAGCAGGUCUCGCAAAAUUGCUAGCACAAAGUCUGCGCCGGGGUUUAUGCUAAGGCUUUUUACGCUUCUGUUCAAAGGUGCAUUGGGAAGGUUAUGAAGUACAUUUUUGGGGGGGGGCAGGGUUACAGGAAUAAAUAAUACAGUACCUGCCUGUGAAGAUGGAUGCUUCAUUGUUACAGCCAGGAAUAGUUCCUGCACUCAGCACUUCUCCAAAGAAGUGAAUGUCAAACUUGUGAAUGUCAAACUUGCAGGGGAUCCCCAACAGAGCAGCGUUAGAGAACUGUUCAACCAACUCAGUGUUAAAGAUGAAAUCCGCAUAAGGUGAAACAGCGCCAUUGUUAGCCCUCAGUGCAUUUGUCAUGAUUUUUGUUCUGUUGAUGAAACAGAGUAGAGGAGCAUCCAGUAUCGUGGUAAAACAAUAUUCCAGUACAUACUCUGUGUUCUAUCGCACGUGCAAUGAUGUGCAACGAUGUCAGCGGGGGAAAAAAACUGUGUUCGUAGUUUGAAGUAACUUCUUUGUUGUUGUAAUAUCGCAAACGGACAUGGCCGUUUCACCAAGUACGAAUUCCAGCUUUAAAACAGUGUUCAACCAAUGAAGUGUUAAAACAGUUUUUAGAAGAAUUCACAAGCUUGUAAUUGCAAAACUAGGCAGAAAUGAAGAAGAAAAGUGAUUCAGAAAAGAGGGAACAAAUGGUGUUAUUCUUUGAACCGCUUUUAAUUAAGUCUGUUCCUUUCUGUUUACUUUGAUGAAUCAUUGUUUCCCUAUUAGGCUCACUGUACCAAAGAGAGCUGCAUCUCCAUAAAACUAAAGGAGACAUCAUCCCCAUUAACAACUGUUACUAAUUGAUAUACCUAUAGUUUGGUUUUGAAAGAUUCAUACAACACAAGAACAGUACACUGCCCUCUGAUCCCAGAGGGCAGUGUCUCCAAGAAUACUGUCUCCAAGGAGGCUGCCUGCCUGCCUGUAUACCUGCCUUCUUGCCUUGAUGCCUGUGUGGCUGGCUUCCUGUACAGAUAGCCUAGCAGGAGGGAGCCUGCCUCUGCCUGCCUGCCUCUCAGCCUGCCUCUCUGCCUGCCUCUCUGCUUGGUGCACUCAGCAGUAAGAGGUGAUAUAGGCCUAAUCAUUAUUACUCUAUAAUAACUGAUAAAUAAUCCUCAUAUGAACGGUCACUAGGGGAAAUUGGCUUUUGUUAUUUCAUGUCUAACCGCAUUGCACCUACAGAAACCCAAUUAGCAAAACAAGUCAGCCAGCACUGAAUCAUCGGCAGGUAGUCUGCUAGGCUAUAUUGUCAUGAACAAACUACUGGAAUUCUGUUUGUGUAUAUAUGAAUGGGUUACUUUGGGUCCUAGAGUAUGUUAACUUUUUUAAUGUACUGUAGUUCCAUCCAUUAAAAAAAUUAUAAUAAUAAUUACUGAUUUUUGAGUACAGGCAUACCAUUGAAAUGUCUCUGUACUUUCUUCUCUCUCUCAGUGUGAGAAGCCAGUUCCGAGUUUCAGUUCUCUUUCCAGACUUAGUUGUUGUGACAAACAUUUGACCAGAUAAUUCAGUUCCCUGGGUGUAAUUACUCAGUUGACUGCAGGCACAUUUAGAUUUAAUUAAAAGUGAGAGUCCAAUAUCACUUGUCAUUGCACCUGACACCCUGGCGUUAACUUUGCAGCUUUGCAUUCAUUAGAGCAGGCAGUCAUUUUGUCACAUCUCCUUUGGAAUUGCCUAAAGUUGUAUCUUAUUUACAGCAUAAUCCUACCAGAUAUAAUAUAGUGCACAUCCUUAGGCAUGAAAGUAACAAAACUGAGGUGGGUAUGUGUGUGUGUGUGUCUGUGUGUGUGUGUGUGUGUUGGCAGAGGCCUUCCAGGUUCCCCUUCAGUCAUAUCACGGUAGGAGCAUGGCUGUGUCUUUGCACUGCCAAUUAUCACUCCGGAAAUUCACUAAACAGACUAAGUACAUCACACACACACACACAAAUCCGCUUUAAAGCUUUGUCUCUAAUUAGAUGAAACAGGAAAAAUAGAUCUCACAAAACAUCUUGCUCACCUUACAUGGUGAGGCAUCUUCAGCAUCUAUUCGACACUCUCUUAGAAGGCCAGAUACAUUUCCACUGUCAUUUCUGAUGUGGACUGACUCAAUGUUACCGGAUUGUCAAAAUUAAAUUGAAUUCUUUAGAACAGAUAGCUACAACUCUUCAGGGAAAUAUCCAGAGACAAUAUAGUCUAUACAACAGCAACGAAUACAAAUGAAUAAAGAUAGUGCUAAAGUAACUAUUCCUAAUAUUGAGUACAUCCCGGUGCUUAAUGGUAAACACAGCACCUUGAUGUGUGAUCUGCUUUUUUAUUAACACUAUUUUCCUGUGGACAAAGAGAGUUAUGCCACUAACUGGACCAAUAGCCUUGUUUGGUAUGCACGUCCACCGGAGGCCCCAAACAUAACAAUUCAUCGGUUCUAGUUCUCCUUUGUGUCAGAUCCCACAUUUCAACUCAAUUAAACCCCAUUUUAUUACAGAGCUGCAUCUGCGGCAUGAGUGUGACUAAUUGAAAAGUGAACGGAAAGGAAAAGCAAUUUUCUCACCUAGAAAUGACUCAUCACACAAUGCAUUUUCUUUUUCUCAAAUCGAACAAAUGGUUCAAGCCUCUGCUCGAAUUUAGGAACAGUGAGCCUCAUUAUCCAGUUGGAAAGGUGGUUGAAUGAUGCCAAUUUAUCCAUCAUUACAUAUAACAGAGCUUUCUCUCUUUGUGCUCAUUCGCCAUUAGAUGAGAAAAGAAGAAUUGCAUCAUUUCACACAGACAGGGAAAAUACAGUUAAUUGUUCAAGUGUUCUUGUUAAAGCCUCUUAAUCCUAGGAUUUAAGAGUGAUUAACAUUUGUUCCAUAAUAUUUAACAAUGGACUAAAAGCUGUCAUGUUAAUCACAAGACAUCAUUAUAAGCUAGGAGAAUUUAUUUUAUAAUGGUUAGCACCAAUCAGUGCUAAAAGACUUGCACUCUCCUGGAUAAGCUCUUGAAACGUAAGUCCAUUCAUAAAAGUAAAUCUGUUUUUACUUUGCCUUUGACUCAUUCCAUUGGACCACCUCCACUACAGUAUUAGCAAGGAGUUUUAUAACUAACCCAAGACAGACAAGAGCCUGUCGUUUCCAACCUGAGCAAAUUAAUCAUAGCGUGCAGAUAGGCAAGAAGGUGGGCAGAGCCAAGCACGAGCUACUGAGAUCUUAUUGGCUCAUUAUUUGUAUAUUUCAGGUGCGCGUGUGCACUCUAAACAACGCGCUUUUUAGAAACUUUGGCAAAACGCAGUCCACUCUGUUUGUUACAGAUUUUAGUUUGGAAACAGAAACCUGUAUGGAGAUCAAAUGUUUCAUCGAUGAGAACAUUUGCAGAAUGUCGGCCAAAGUCCAUCUCGCUUGAUAUUCUCCCAUUGCCGGCCACUGGGCUUCCAUACUAGUGAGUGGAAAUGCCAACCGGAUGCUUCACGUUUAUGCAUCCAGUUUAAAUAUGGCUCAUCGUUCUGUCUGUGGUAUUAGAUUUUCUGUGAUAGUGAGACACUUCCCUCUUGUGGUGAAAAUGAUACUGUAAUUGUAUGGAAGUAAAACGUUCUGACUGCGCCACCCAGUGGUAAAUUCUAAGUAUUGCAAUGAGAAUACUGGAACACUUGUGAUCAACAUUCAUUCAAAACAACCACUCCUUAUGAAAUGAUCAUGUUUUCAACAGAGACGUGACAGUUGGUGAUAUAGUGGGGGAAUUACUAGUGCGAAGCAUCCUUUUCAGUCAACCUUAAAGUUCAAUUUUCAUUUUGAUAUGCUGUGCAGAGGUUAGGUUUAGAGUUGAGGUUAGGGAAUGUGUUAAGGUUAGGGUUCGAGGGGUUAACAUAGACUCUGGCCAUGGGAACUUAUUUGUACAUUUGAACUGUAUGUUGUCCUGUUAUGACCCGUAUGACUGUGUUUAAUAUCACUCCCUGACCACAUUUUAUAAAGUGCCUGGGGAAGUGAGGGCCUCCACCGUGGGAGAUUUAUGAUAUGGAUUUAUUUUAUUAUCAAGUAAUAAAAGUGGUCCGAACAUCUGUUUUAUUACUUUUAUAAAACAGGGGUGCCAAUACUGAUGGAGAAUUACGAGGCGAUAGACUGAUUUACUGGACAUCAGGACUUACAGCUGACUUGUAAGUCCCGACGUACUUCAAAAUUCCAAGUAUGGCAGUACCAAGUACCUCAAGUAAGGAAUGCAUGAUGGAUACCAUGCCAAACAAGCAAAAGCAAUAGGCUGUUGUAGGCUCAGAAAAAAAGUGUUGGCAGCAACAUACAAAGGACGCUUUAUGUUGCUCUUUACCAUCGAGCAAAACCCAGCAGGCCAGUCUAGCCCAAUUGGAAUCUUACCCUGAAUUCAAAGGUAUACUCUGCCAAUAACAGAGUGGGCUAGACUGGCAGAGAUGGAGUGUUUGUUUCUAGAAAUAAGUGUGUUUUGGAUGGGCACAUUCUGCUAGUAUUGAUAAACAGGUCUGUUGGCAGGCGGCUGAUGUGGGCAGGGGUUUGAGUUAGCUCAGGCCCAGACGCUCAGACCGUUCUGCUGGAGGGACGCCAGUGAAAUUCUCUGGCCUGCUAGAGGCAAACGAUUAUGUGAAGAAGAAGAGGGGUCCGGGCCGCCAAGAGCAUAAUUUCCCGUUAGAAUGGGAAUUAGAGGACCACACACUUAGUUCAAUCCCAUCAGUCACUAGGAAAACGGAUCGAUGAAGGAAGGAUGGACGAAGUGGGGUGCACAUGCAGAUGUGCUGAGUCACAGGCCAUUGUGACAUCCCUUCCUCUAUCUCAAAACAACAAAGAUCCAUCUAUGUGUUCCAAGCCAGGCCAAAGGAUGAUUUCAGAGAAGAGGACAGAGGGGGUAACAUCCGUGGAAUGGAAGAGUGGGGACAGGGUGGAGGAUUGGAUGUGUUGGGAUGAGGUAAAAAAAUUCCCUCACUCUGUCUGGACCUACUGUAAUAAGAUGGUUAUUGUUAACACAUUACACACACACACCAAUGGAGGCUCCUCAGACGAGGAAGGGGAGGACCAUCCUUCUCUGUGAAUUUCAUAAAAAUACAAAUAGUGAAACAAUAAUAAAAUGCAAUCCUUUUUAGAUAAAACUAUAGCAAAUAUAUUCAAACGUCACCAAAUACCUAAUUAAAACACACUGUUUUGCAAUGGUCUACAGUAAUCUCAACAGCACCCUCUAGGGUAGCACCAUGGUAUAGCCGGAGGACAUCUAUUUUCCAUCCUCCUCUGGCUACAUUGACUUCAAUACAAAACCUAGGAGGCUCAUGCUCCUCACCCCCUUUCAUAGAACUUCUGAAGGACGUCCUCCAACCAAUCAAAGCUUUUGCAGUAUGAACUAACAUGUUGUCCCCUCAAUCAAAGGAUCAGAGAACUAACCUAGUAGUACACAUGUGUGAUUUAGAAGCUUGGCGACAUUGUUGGAUAGAAUAGUGAUACAGUAGAUGAGCCUUUUUAGGUUACUAUUCAAUUCAAAUUAAUUUCUUCAAAACUACAUCAGAUGUAGGAGGUAGAUUAAUCCUUGCUUGGACUAACAAAUUCUUAGCUCUUCUGUCUAACUGUGUUGUGUUAUUGUUUUUUGUCUUCCCUGUUAAAUCCUGUCCCACCCUCAGUGGAAGAGUUGAGCUCUCCAACCUCAUCCAUCUGUGAUGAGCAUGUCCUGCACUGAAACCUAGCCACUGAACACCUCUACCCCUGUCCUGCACUGAAGCCUCUGAACACCUCAAACCCUGACAUGCACUGAAGUCAAGCCUCUCGAACACCUCAACUCAUGUCUUAUAACCUCAUUCAGUCACUGCUGUGAUCCCUUCACAACACUGUGUAAGUAUCAGCAUUCAACAUCAACUUUCAUUCCCAUUCCCCAUACUAUUUUACAAAAUAAUAGAUUUAGUAAAUCUUAGGGUUAAAAUAAUUUGUCUUUGAUGAUUUUUUAAACACGCUUUGUGGACUCCGUGCAGUCUGUGACUAUACUGUGGGUCUCCCAUCCUCCUACAUUUUCAAGGUGUCAGCCUCCGCUGACACCCAGAAUCAUAUUAAACUUCUAUACAACCAGAGCCUCCCAGCCUCUGAGGCAGAAUAAUUCAGAUGUGUUAAAUAGUAAAUAAAAAGGAGGAUUAAAAACUAGCUAAUUAAAACAUAAACAAUGAGUUUACUCACCUCUCUCUGUCUGCCCCAAUCCCUGCAAUCCCCUCUCCACAGGAGCAAAGAACAGCUUUAUGAAUACCUCCACACACACACACACACACACACACACACACACACACACACACACACACACACACACACACACACACACACACACACACACACACACACACACACACACACACACACACACACACACACACACACACACACACACACACACACACACACACACACACACACACACCGCCUAGUCUUGAGUAAACUGAAACACUGUAUGCCAGCUUUACGAAUGCCACCAGAAAAAAAAGUAGCUAAGUAGCUUACUAUGCAGAAAGCCAUUUAGUGCUCAUUGUUAUUUCUGGAUACUGUGAGAAAAAAUGCCAGAGGCAAUUUAGGCCAUUGCCUUUGAGUGGCUGUGUGGUCACUUGUUUUUACGAUGAGUCUGAAGCAGUGAAAUAGUACAUAAUGAUGUCUGGUUUGAGUAACACACACAAAACACACACACACACACACACACACACACACACACACACACACACACACACACACACACACACACACACACACCAGUAAGAGCCAAGUCCUGAGUGAAGUGAAGUGGAACACUACUACUGGACUCCUGAUCAGAGGACCGGACCUCACCUGGGUUUGAAAACUCACCAAGUCUGCCAAUGCCUGUUCCUGUUCAAACAACUUCUCUCUCAUUUUCCACCCAGAUCAUCUUGUCCCAAUUUUACGCAUUACUUGUGAUUUCACUUUGAGGUUGGUCCCAUACUGGCAGUUGUUAUUUCUGGGCAAAAUCAAACAAUAGCCUGAUCUUCACUUUGUAACGCAAUAGGGACAGGGUUUUUUUUUACUUUUUGUGUGGUGCUAGUGAAGUUCUCCACCUAAUUUAUUGCCUUCAGCAAGCUUAUAAAACUUAAAGCAUUUUGACUAAUUUAACACUAAGAGGAUACAGGUCUAAAAUGAAACAUAGAGACCUUUGACUUCUUAAGAUGACCCGGAAGAUGACUUACUUGACUACUAGGAAUCUUUGGCUCCUAUAAGGAGCAUAGCAGACCAUUGAUAAAUGUCCUUCAUCUCACUCCGUUUUGAGUGAGAUGUUCUUCCAGGUCACACCAGUUGAGGCCACUCUGUCAUUUCUACCUGGAUGUCUCUCUGUGGGAGAAUCUCAAUAGCAUACUUCUCGAGUCCUCUCUCAUCUCUCCUCACCUCCUUCUCAAAACCCAUUGGAGGAGAAGGUCAUAGGGGAGGGACCUCUGGCUUUCUCAUCCAUUGGUUUGUGAGAAAGAGGUGAGGAGAGAGGAGAGAGGAUGCGAGGGGUAUGCAAUUGAGAUUCUCUCCAAGCCUUUCUGGGUCGAGGUACAUGAGGUACAGAAGACAGUUAAAAAAUGUCACUCAAACAUUUCAUAGCUCUACAUGCUUUCAGAAAGAAUAAAAAUCACUGUCUCUAAGCAAGUUUAUGAAAUGUGUUUCAUAUUAGGGUUAUAUGAGUGUUUACAGCAGGCUUAGUGCCAAAUUAGAUUUACAGAACUAUCCAUAAUCGAAAGCUGUUAAAAAGUGAGCUAAGUGCAUAAUUGAGCAAACACUGUAAAGCUGAGAAUGCAUCAAAGGAACAUUCAUCCACACCUGGAUUACCACCAGAGAAACUGGCUGAGAAGUGUUUCUCUCUCUCUCUCUGAUUGGUUAACUGACAGAGGUUAUAAGGGCACCUCUGGCCACCUAGAGAGACAGAGGCACGAUUCAAUAAACGUCUUCCUCAAUUUGUCAAAUAGUCGGCAGUAGGCUACAUGCCAAGUUCAACUGGGCUAAACCAAAUAGCUAGCUACACUCUUAGAAAAAAAGUGUUCCAAAAGGGUUAUUCGGCUGUCCCAAUAGGAGAACCCUUUUUGGUUCCAGGUAGAACCUUUUUGGUUUCAAAUAGAACUCGUUUCGUUUAGUACCCUGUCAGGUAAGGGUUCUACCUGGAACCAAAAGGGUUCUACCUGGAACCAAAAAUGGUUCUUCAAAUGGUUCUCCUAUGGAGACAUCCGAAGAGCACCUUUUUUCUAAGUGUAUAGUAGCUUGUUAAAUAAAAGGCCAAACAUUUCAUGAAACGUUGUUACAUACAGCAUUUCAUAUAUCUUCUACAUUUUACCAAUAUUUUGGGAUAGGGGUUUUUCUUGCUUUUACCUGUUUGAGGUUGGCUCGCUGCCGAUUUCAAAUUUGAAUUCAGUGUCAUCACACGACAUCCGGUAAUGACCGUCUGUGGCUUUACCUUGAAGACCGUCUCCUAGAAGUUGGACUGAUGUGCCCAGUGGGUAGUUAACUCAACUUGCUAGCUGUGUUGAUGGACGUAUACAGAAAGUCAACAAAAAACUGUAAAGUAAGUUAAGGACAGAUAAACAUUAAACACACAAAGAAAUUAUUGAAAACACUGUACAUAAAAGUUUAUGCUUUUGGCUCAGUAUAUGGAGGGCCAAAACGUAUUUCCUCUCUAACAUGAUCGAUUUUAUGAAAUGACCAUCAGCCCUUUUACAGUUUUUUUUCAAUUGUUUAAGCACAAUUUUGAAAACAGGGCCCGGUUUGUCAAAACACUACACACAAUUAGCAGAACCCUACACCAAAGUAGCACAACACUUCAGAUCAUUUGCAAAAUGGAACACUUGUCAAAACUACACACAUAUUCUGUUACCAUACGAAACACACACAUUUCAUGACUUCAAUCUUUUUGAACCAGUUACACACUGCUGUUGCUAACCUAAAACACUUUUAGCAAGUCUAAUUGUCAGUGAUUAGAGUACUGUAAAUGAAGUACACAGAGAAAGUGCAACUAUACAAACACUACACAAGACCAAUGCUGCAGACUGAGGAAAAUAUCAUUUAUUUCUCUCCAUAUACCCAAAUCAGUCAACAUGUCAACAUGGAGAAUCACAACAAAACAUGUCCCAGUUUUCAUGCUACUACAGUAGUGUGCAUAACACUGUUAGCUCAGCAAACAGACAAAGGUAAAAUACUGUAUCCAGUACAGGUUACAAUUACAGUAAACAACAAACAUAAAAAAAUAAUCUGAAAAAAAACUGACAAUAUUGUACAGAAAAUACUACAGUAAACAUAGUAUACAUUAUCUCUUCACCUAGCUGGAUCUGGCCAGAGAAUUUCAUCAACAUCACAAGCAAUAUCCUCAUUAGCAAGACAACGCGGGAAGAACCGUCUUGAAUGUCGAAUCCAUCCUUGCAGAGCUGCGGCGUCGACUUGGUCACAGGCAUCCUCCAUGGCCUGAAUGAGGGGUACCUGAGCCUGGGGCUGGAGAUCGUAAACCUUCCACCGCCAUGCAGAGAAAAACUCUUCAAAAGGGUUUAGAAACGGAGAGUAUGGUGGAAGGUAUAGUACUGUCAACUGUGGAUGGUGUUGAAACCAGUUCUGGACCAAAGCAGAGCGGUGGAAUGACACAUUGUCCCAGAUGACAGUGUAUUGCAUCUGGUGCAUUUCAUUACCUGCUGUGACGAUGUGGUGCAAUCGGUCCAAAAAUGCGAGAAUGUGAGGUGUGUUGUAAGGGCCCAUUUUGGCAUGACGGAGGAGAACCCCAUGCUGUGAAAUGGCAGCGCAAAGGGUGAUGUUACCCCCACGUUGCC